AUUGAACGCUUGCGGCAGGCCUAACACAUGCAAGUCGAACGAGUGGCGGACGGGUGAGUAAUGUCUGGGAAACUGCCUGAUGGAGGGGGAUAACUACUGGAAACGGUAGCUAAUCCCGCAUAACAUCAGAUGUGCCCAGAUGGGAUUAGCUUGUUGGUGGGGUAACGGCUCACCAAGGCAACGAUCCCUAGCUGGUCUGAGAGGAUGAACGGCCACACUGGAACUGAGACACGGUCCAGACUCCUACGGGAGGCAGCAGUGGGGAAUAUUGCACAAUGGGCGAAAGCCUGAUGCAGCCAUGCCGCGUGUAUGAAGAAGGCCUUCGGGUUGUAAAGUACUUUCAGUGGGGAGGCGUUACCGGCAGAAGAAGCACCGGCUAACUCCGUGCCAGCAGCCGCGGUAAUUC
rnacentral:rRNA from 1 species